CACGUAGGGGGCAAGCGUUGUCCGGAUUUAUUGGGCGUAAAGAGCUCGUAGGUGGUUCGGUAAGUCGGGUGUUAAACCCCCAGGCUCAACCUGGGGACGCCACUCGAUACUGCUGUGACUAGAGUCCGGUAGGGGAGCGUGGAAUUCCUGGUGUAGCGGUGAAAUGCGCAGAUAUCAGGAGGAACACCAAUGGCGAAGGCAGCUCGCUGGAACGGUACUGACGCUGAGGCGCGAAAGCGUGGGGAGCAAACAGG
rnacentral:rRNA from 1 species